rnacentral:rRNA from 1 species
AACGAACGCUGGCGGCAGGCUUAACACAUGCAAGUCGAACGCCCCGCAAGGGGAGUGGCAGACGGGUGAGUAACGCGUGGGAAUCUACCGUACCCUACGGAACAACAGUUGGAAACGACUGCUAAUACCGUAUACGCCCUACGGGGGAAAGAUUUAUCGGGGUAUGAUGAGCCCGCGUUGGAUUAGCUAGUUGGUGGGGUAAAGGCCUACCAAGGCGACGAUCCAUAGCUGGUCUGAGAGGAUGAUCAGCCACAUUGGGACUGAGACACGGCCCAAACUCCUACGGGAGGCAGCAGUGGGGAGUAUUGGACAAUGGGCGCAAGCCUGAUCCAGCCAUGCCGCGUGAGUGAUGAAGGUCUUAGGAUUGUAAAACACUUUCGGCUGUGAAGAUAAUGACAGUAGCAGAAGAAGAAGCUCCGGCUAAAUUCGUGCCAGCAGCCGCCGUAA